UACGUAGGGCGCAAGCGUUGUCCGGAAUUAUUGGGCGUAAAGAGCUCGUAGGCGGUUUGUCGCGUCUGUCGUGAAAGCUUGGGGCUUAACCCCAAGUCUGCGGUGGAUACGGGCAGACUAGAGGCAGGUAGGGGAGAUCGGAAUUCCUGGUGUAGCGGUGAAAUGCGCAGAUAUCAGGAGGAACACCGGUGGCGAAGGCGGAUCUCUGGGCCAUUACUGACGCUGAGGAGCGAAAGCGUGGGGAGCGAACAGG
rnacentral:rRNA from 1 species